UACGAAGGGGGCUAGCGUUGUUCGGAUUUACUGGGCGGAAAGCGCACGUAGGCGGUUUGUUAAGUCAGAGGUGAAAUCCCGGAGCUCAACUCCGGAACUGCCUUCGAUACUGGCAAGCUAGAGUCCGGAAGAGGUGAGUGGAACUCCUAGUGUAGAGGUGGAAUUCGUAGAUAUUAGGAAGAACACCAGUGGCGAAGGCGGCUCACUGGUCCGGUACUGACGCUGAGGUGCGAAAGCGUGGGGAGCAAACAGG
rnacentral:rRNA from 1 species